AGUGAACGCUGGCGGUAGGCCUAACACAUGCAAGUCGAACGGCAGCACAGUAAGAGCUUGCUCUUACGGGUGGCGAGUGGCGGACGGGUGAGGAAUACAUCGGAAUCUACUUUUUCGUGGGGGAUAACGUAGGCAAACUUACGCUAAUACCGCAUACGACCUACGGGUGAAAGCAGGGGAUCUUCGGACCUUGCGCGAUUGAAUGAGCCGAUGUCGGAUUAGCUAGUUGGCGGGGUAAAGGCCCACCAAGGCGACGAUCCGUAGCUGAUCUGAGAGGAUGAUCAGCCACACUGGAACUGAGACACGGUCCAGACUCCUACGGGAGGCAGCAGUGGGGAAUAUUGGACAAUGGGCGCAAGCCUGAUCCAGCCAUACCGCGUGGGUGAAGAAGGCCUUCGGGUUGUAAAGCCCUUUUGUUGGGAAAGAAAAGCAGCAGGUUAAUACCCCGCUGUUCUGACGGUACCCAAAGAAUAAGCACCGGCUAACUUCGUG
rnacentral:rRNA from 1 species